rnacentral:rRNA from 1 species
UUCUACAGCCAUACUAUUCUGAACAUAACAGACCUUAUCUAAUCUUGGAAGCUAAGCAGGGUCAGGCCUGGUUAUUACUUGGAUGGGAGACUGCCUGGGAAUACUGGGUACUGUACACU